GGAGACCCCUAUUCCCCUCACAGAAUUGCAGUUCCCAGAGCUGUUUAGCAAUCAAUCCUCCUUCAUAGGAAACUCUGGGAAUUGUAUCUCUGUGAGGGGAACGGGGGUCUG